UACGUAGGGUGCAAGCGUUGUCCGGAAUUAUUGGGCGUAAAGAGCUCGUAGGCGGUUUGUCGCGUCUGCUGUGAAAACGCGAGGCUCAACCUCGCGCCUGCAGUGGGUACGGGCAGACUAGAAUGCGGUAGGGGAGAUUGGAAUUCCUGGUGUAGCGGUGGAAUGCGCAGAUAUCAGGAGGAACACCGAUGGCGAAGGCAGAUCUCUGGGCCGUAACUGGACGCUGAGGAGCGAAAGCGUGGGGAGCGAACAGG
rnacentral:rRNA from 1 species